UCAAAAAAAAAAAUUUGUGUGAUUUUUAGCUAUUUUUAGGCAUUUUUGGUGUGUUCACAUUGGUUCUCGCGGUUCUCACAAUAAGAGGUGGUUCUCGCAUGAUCUUCUCCCUAUGUUUGUAUUGUCCAAACUUUGGCAUUGAAGUGCAGUCAAAUCUUAAAAGUUCAAGGACAGGGAACAACCUAUCGGUCCGUGUUUUAAGGGAGAAUUAGAACUUGUGAAAGAGACUAAUGUUUGGUGUUGAGGUCAGUAGAAUACCGUUCUUGAUGCUUGGACUGAAAUUGCCAUUAUCACACUUUUCAAAGACGUGAAGGAGAAAAAACAUAACUCCUCAGACGUGAAGGAGAAAAACACAACUCCUCAGAUAUUCUCAUCAUGUUACAUAUCACCGUUGAUGGAGAUAUGGUGAUUACCAUUAUGAUUGGUACACCCAAAAUCAUUCGGCAUUAAGAGCUUCUCUUGAUACUUGAAAAUAGCUGAGUAUGCCAGAUGGAGAAUGGCAAGGGAGUUAAUUUUGAUCCAGGUUGAAUGCCAUUGGUUUUUGCCUAUAAAAUAUUUUUCCAUUGUUCCAGAUGGUAAUAACCAUACAACUGCUAUACUUGAUGUUGAUCCAGGCUAAAUGCCCAUGGUUUUGCUUCAUUUUUUAAUUAAUAAAUUCUCUAACCAGCCGCCCAUCUAUUAAGUAAUAAUUCAAUAAUUCGAAAAUAUAUGUUUUGUAAAAGCCACUGAAAUAUUGGUUCUAAAUUAAAUACUACAACUAACGUUAUGUUUGCAAUCAACUUAUUCAUAUUUAAAUAAUUCAAAAUAUAAAAAUCACAUCUUUAUAUUAUUGUUAAGAUAUAGAAGGUUUAACAUUUUAAAAAAGUGGAAUAUUUGCAAUAACUUUGAACAAAGAUUUCAAUUGAUUAAAUAGUAAUCACCAUUUCAAUCGAUGGAUAUGGGCUAAAUAGAAUUUAUAUUUCAAGUUCAUGUUCAUUUUACAUAUAUAAAUUAGGUUAUUAAUAUAUAUGUUAUACUCAGUAAUACAUUAUAUGUUUCAUUCGUUUAUACAAUGAUUUAUAUUCCUUUUUAAAUGCUACUCUUUAAGAUUUUAACCAAGCUAAAUGCUAUAUCAAUUUAUCGCUUCAAAUGUGUAUCCAGAGAAUGACGAGAUGGGCUAUCAUCCUUUCAUCUUGGUCUGAAUCAUUCUACAUACGUAGAAAAUUUUCUUGUAAUAUGUUGAAAAUUAUAUGGUAAUUGUUACCAUUGAUAAAUCGCAUUGUUUGCAUAUAUUAUUAUAUACGAUUAACAUUGAAUUAUUUUAUAUAUAUCCUCACAAAUUUUAUAAAAAAACAUUUGUAAUAAAAUUAAUAAAAUAUUAAUAUCCUUAAAAUAGAGCGACCCGUGGGUACCACGGGUUAUAACCUAGUGUGCCUAUAUACUUUUUCAGGCUAUGCGGUAUGG